UGCCUGCGUGACGCCGCCCUUGGCGUCCGAUCGCUGGUAACGGUCGCCCGCCUGGCCGGCGGGCAGGUCGAGGUGCUAGUCGACGGCUGGCGCC
rnacentral:tRNA from 1 species